rnacentral:rRNA from 1 species
GACGAACGCUGGCGGCGUGCUUAACACAUGCAAGUCGAACGGAAAGGCCCUGCUUUUGUGGGGUGCUCGAGUGGCGAACGGGUGAGUAACACGUGAGUAACCUGCCCUUGACUUUGGGAUAACUUCAGGAAACUGGGGCUAAUACCGGAUAGGAGCUCCUGCUGCAUGGUGGGGGUUGGAAAGUUUCGGCGGUUGGGGAUGGACUCGCGGCUUAUCAGCUUGUUGGUGGGGUAGUGGCUUACCAAGGCUUUGACGGGUAGCUGGCCUGAGAGGGUGACCGGCCACAUUGGGACUGAGAUACGGCCCAGACUCCUACGGGAGGCAGCAGUGGGGAAUAUUGCACAAUGGGCGGAAGCCUGAUGCAGCAACGCCGCGUGCGGGAUGACGGCCUUCGGGUUGGAAACCGCUUUCGCCUGUGACGAAGCGUGAGUGACGGUAAUGGGUAAAGAAGCACCGGCUAACUACGUG